rnacentral:rRNA from 1 species
AGAGUUUGAUCAUGGCUCAGAUUGAACGCUGGCGGCAGGCCUAACACAUGCAAGUCGAACGGUAACAGGAAGCAGCUUGCUGCUUCGCUGACGAGUGGCGGACGGGUGAGUAAUGUCUGGGAAACUGCCUGAUGGAGGGGAUAACUACUGGAAACGGUAGCUAAUACCGCAUAACGUCGCAAGACCAAAGAGGGGGACCUUCGGGCCUCUUGCCAUCGGAUGUGCCCAGAUGGGAUUAGCUUGUUGGUGGGGUAACGGCUCACCAAGGCGACGAUCCCUAGCUGGUCUGAGAGGAUGACCAGCCACACUGGAACUGAGACACGGUCCAGACUCCUACGGGAGGCAGCAGUGGGGAAUAUUGCACAAUGGGCGCAAGCCUGAUGCAGCCAUGCCGCGUGUAUGAAGAAGGCCUUCGGGUUGUAAAGUACUUUCAGCGGGGAGGAAGGGAGUAAAGUUAAUACCUUUGCUCAUUGACGUUACCCGCAGAAGAAGCACCGGCUAACUCCGUGCCAGCAGCCGCGGUAAUACGGAGGGUGCAAGCGUUAAUCGGAAUUACUGGGCGUAAAGCGCACGCAGGCGGUUUGUUAAGUCAGAUGUGAAAUCCCCGGGCUCAACCUGGGAACUGCAUCUGAUACUGGCAAGCUUGAGUCUCGUAGAGGGGGGUAGAAUUCCAGGUGUAGCGGUGAAAUGCGUAGAGAUCUGGAGGAAUACCGGUGGCGAAGGCGGCCCCCUGGACGAAGACUGACGCUCAGGUGCGAAAGCGUGGGGAGCAAACAGGAUUAGAUACCCUGGUAGUCCACGCCGUAAACGAUGUCGACUUGGAGGUUGUGCCCUUGAGGCGUGGCUUCCGGAGCUAACGCGUUAAGUCGACCGCCUGGGGAGUACGGCCGCAAGGUUAAAACUCAAAUGAAUUGACGGGGGCCCGCACAAGCGGUGGAGCAUGUGGUUUAAUUCGAUGCAACGCGAAGAACCUUACCUGGUCUUGACAUCCACGGAAGUUUUCAGAGAUGAGAAUGUGCCUUCGGGAACCGUGAGACAGGUGCUGCAUGGCUGUCGUCAGCUCGUGUUGUGAAAUGUUGGGUUAAGUCCCGCAACGAGCGCAACCCUUAUCCUUUGUUGCCAGCGGUCCGGCCGGGAACUCAAAGGAGACUGCCAGUGAUAAACUGGAGGAAGGUGGGGAUGACGUCAAGUCAUCAUGGCCCUUACGACCAGGGCUACACACGUGCUACAAUGGCGCAUACAAAGAGAAGCGACCUCGCGAGAGCAAGCGGACCUCAUAAAGUGCGUCGUAGUCCGGAUUGGAGUCUGCAACUCGACUCCAUGAAGUCGGAAUCGCUAGUAAUCGUGGAUCAGAAUGCCACGGUGAAUACGUUCCCGGGCCUUGUACACACCGCCCGUCACACCAUGGGAGUGGGUUGCAAAAGAAGUAGGUAGCUUAACCUUCGGGAGGGCGCUUACCACUUUGUGAUUCAUGACUGGGGUGAAGUCGUAACAAGGUAACCGUAGGGGAACCUGCGGUUG